AUGAAGACAGAGAUUCAAGUUAGUGCGACUGGCAAGGUGGCCCCUCAAGCUCCCAAAACUCCGGCCGGAGACACCAGUCGGCGACAACAGCAGAAUGAUCACAAGCGCAAGGCCCCACAGCCGACUUCCAGCAGUCGGCAGGUCGCGACAAUCGAAGACCAACAACCUGAGGGGCAGCCUCUGGCGAAGCGGCAGAAAGGCGGCAAGUCCAACUGGUUGCCAGCCUUCUCUUACGAGCAGACUCUGGAUGGUCCCUGCAAGUUCCACAGCGGUGCAAAACCGUCAAACCAUACCACCCGAAAAUGCCACUGGCUCACCAGAAUCGCCAAGGGAGACGGCCUCCUUCCUCCACCGCCUGCUGGGCCGCCGCCUCCACAGCCGCCCCAGCAGCCGGCGGCUAGGCCAGUCGGGGCCGUACAAGAUGAAUACCCCGAAGAGCAUGGAGCUUAUGUGGUGUUCACCAGUAUGGCUGAUGAUCGACGCAGCAGACGGUUGCAGCAGCAAGAAGUAAAUGCUGUAGCAUCAGAUACUCCGGAAUUUAUGCAUUGGUCCGAGAAGCCUAUCAGUUGGAGCAGAGCAGAUCACCCAGAGGUGAUGCCGAAUCCGGGCUCCUAUGCCUUGGUUCUGAGUGCAAUCUUGGCCACUGAUAGGCGGGUCUCUCACUUCUCGCGAGUGUUGAUAGACGGAGGCAGCAGCAUCAACAUCCUGUACAAGGAUACCAUGGAGAAAUUAGGGAUCAAGCAGAAACAACUUCAAAGCAGCCGGACUGCUUUCCACGGCAUUGUACCUGGCCUUUCCUGCUCCCCGAUCGGCAAGAUCCAGAUAGACGUCCUCUUCGGAGACAAAGAUCAUUUUCGCCGAGAGCCAGUCUCGUUUGAAGUGGUGGACCUUGAAAGCCCAUACCAAGCGCUGUUUGGCCGACCUGCCUUAGCCAAGUUCAUGGCGGUCCCCCACUACGCCUACCUCAAGAUAAAGAUGCCGAGUUCAAAGGGGAUUCUGACCGUGGCUGGCGACUACAAGAAGUCGUCCACCUGCGCGGCCGAGAGCAGUCGGUUGGCCGAGUCCCUGGUGAUCGCAGCUGAAAGGCGGCUCCUUGACCGGGUUGUGGCGAUGGCCGGCAAGCAGCCAGAGAUGUCGCCCGACCCCAAGGAGUCGGAAGCUGAUGGUUCGUUCAAGCCGGCUAAAGAAACAAAGAGGAUACCUUUGGACCCGGAGCACCCGGAGAGGCACGCUGUCAUAGGUACAAACCUAGACAGCAAAUAG
rnacentral:rRNA from 1 species